CUAUGAACUACAAAUUGAAUUCCCAAGCAUGGUUUGAGUAAUUGUACAAGUAUAUAUUGUCACUUGUGCUAGGGUAUCCACGAAAUGGGAACAAAUUUUUGGAAUAUUUGGAGGUUGAAAAAUAUUGGUAAAUGGGCCAUCUUCAUGUGUUUGUAUAAGGAGCAACAUCCAAAGAGUCAAAGGGACCAAGUUUGAUGGAAGUGAUUACUCAAUCCUCCAUAUCCUUCUCUCAUCACACUCUCCAUCUCUUUUGCCUCUUGUGCCUUUGCCCUCUGCAUUUCUAUUUCGUCUGUUUCUGCACUGAAGUCAUAAAAUGUACUUGCUGCAGUGAGCUUCAUUGAUAGAAACUCAACUUGAUUCUGCAGAGACUGAACAUAAUUAAUUAUCUCAUCCAACAUUACUGCCAUGCCCAUGGUCUUGUAGCAGCCUGGGACAAUAUCUUGCAAGCAUCUUAGUCUGUCAUUGAUUUUUUCUCUUCUUACCCUUUCUGCUAAA
rnacentral:misc_RNA from 1 species